AAAAGAUUUAAUAAGUAGAAUAAAUCAUUUUUUCAGGCCAAAGUUCAUUAUUUAAACUUUUUUGGUGAAACUAGCCAGAAUUCCUAAAACUGAUAUGAAUAAAGUAAAGUCCAGUGUAAAUUAUGUUAAACAAGAUGUUACAUCUUCUAUUGAAGAUCAACAUGCACCUAAUUGUCAGCCGAAUUCAAAUAUAAAUUCUGAAGAAAACCAUUUAUCAUGUUUUCCAUUAAAAACCGAAUGUGAAUUAAAAGCAAUGAAAUCAACAUUACAAAAUAAAGAAAUAAACUACACAAAGAAAUUGGAAAAAAUAUUUCCAAAGUCACAUAUUAUAGUAUAUUAAAAAUGAUGUUUUCUGAUGAGCUCCUCAAGUAUUAUAGCUGGAAAGAUCAAAAAAAUAAAAAAACAUUUUCAGACUUUAAAAUUUGUAAAGUCAGUAUAGGUGCUGUUAGACAAAAAUUUCCCGAACAAAAUGAUAGCAGAAAUUACAUCAUCAGUAGUAUUAUGUCAUGGCUAGCACAGGCACCAACAAGGAUUGAAAACAAAGAAAAAGAAAAAAAAAAAGGAGAGAAACUGCAGAUUAUCAUCAUCAUCAUCAAGACGAGGAUGAAGACAACCAAUGAUAAUAAUAUCACUUAAACUUAAAAUUAUUUUGUAUUUGAAUUCAAGUAAAAAAAAAAGAACAGGCAUAUAACUACAAGUAACUUUUUAAACUAUGUAUUAAGACUAUGAUACGCUCAUGAAACAUAUACUUUUAUAUAAUACGUAUUAUGUUUCUUAAAAUUUAUAUUAUUUAUAUUUAUCAAUUUAAGUAAAAAAAACAAGUGUUAUGUCGCUCUGCUGUACAGUAGGUUACAAGUGGGUCACUGUAAU